rnacentral:lncRNA from 1 species
UCUGGUUUCAACCUCACCUUCUCCAUGUAUGAGAAGACAAGUCACUUGGAUUCACCAUGCCUCGGUUUCCCCAGAUGGCAAGCAGGACUCAGCCUUUUGUACCUGGUCCAUCAGAGGACGAGCUUUCACGUGUUAGCCAACACCUCCGUCAUCACCAUCAUUGCCAUGAUCAUCGUCCUCAUCACCUUGACACGCUGAGCUUUGUAGCUUAAAAACAAAAUGCCUUUAACAAUGUGCAACAGGUCUAAGAUGCCACCUUUGGGAUCAGAUGGGAGUUUGGGAUUAUUUCUAUUUUCCAAUUGUUCAGCCCCCUCCCACUAAGUGCGAAGCGGAGAGCCAUUAAGUUGCAAUGGAUUUGAUUCACCACGUGGCCCCUCAAAUCCUUUCUGGAACAAGAUUGGAUGUAAAAAUAAAUCAAAUAAAUGCAUUUUCAGCGUGUGCAGCCCA